AAAUUGUUUUUGUUUAGUUUGUGGACAAAGACUUAGACUUAGACAAAAAUAAAUUCUCUCUUGCAAUCCAGAACUCAUUGUUCAAGUAUGAGUUUUGAUACAGGUAAGAAGGAACAUG
ensembl:snoRNA